rnacentral:rRNA from 1 species
AAUCAACGCUGGCGGCGUGCCUCAGACAUGCAAGUCGAACGAUUAAGACUUCCUUCGGGAAGUGUAUAAAGUGGCGCACGGGUGAGUAACACGUAAGUAAUCUACCCUCGAGUGGGGAAUAACGUUCGGCAACGAACGCUAAUACCGCAUAAUGCAGCGGCAUCGCAAGAUGACAGUUGUUAAAGGAGUAAUUCGCUUGAGGAGGAGCUUGCGGCAGAGUAGCUAGUUGGGAAGGUAACGGCUUACCAAGGCUACGGUCUGUAUCCGGUCUAAGAGGACGGUCGGACACACUGACACUGAAUAACGGGUCAGACUCCUACGGGAGGCAGCAGUCGGGAAUGUUGGGCAAUGGGCGAAAGCCUGACCCAGCAACGCCGCGUGAAGGAUGAAGUAUUUCGGUAUGUAAACUUCGAAAGAAUGGGAAGAAUAAAUGACGGUACCAUUUAUAAGCUCCGGCUAACUACGUGCCAGCCGCCGCGUAACAC